CGCGGCGGUCGCUGCAAAA
rnacentral:snRNA from 1 species